CAGUCACCGCGGGAAUACAGAGGGUGCGAGCGUUAAUCGGAUUUACUGGGCGUAAAGCGUGCGUAGGCGGCUAAUUGAGUCGGAUGUGAAAUCCCCGAGCUUAACUUGGGAAUUGCAUUCGAUACUGGUUAGCUAGAGUGUGGGAGAGGAUGGUAGAAUUCCAGGUGUAGCGGUGAAAUGCGUAGAGAUCUGGAGGAAUACCGAUGGCGAAGGCAGCCAUCUGGCCUAACACUGACGCUGAGGUACGAAAGCAUGGGGAGCAAACAGGAUUAGAUACCCGCGUAGUCCCUGUCUCUUAUAC
rnacentral:rRNA from 1 species